rnacentral:rRNA from 1 species
AUUGAACGCUGGCGGCAUGCUUUACACAUGCAAGUCGAACGGCAGCGCGGGCUUCGGCCUGGCGGCGAGUGGCGAACGGGUGAGUAAUACAUCGGAACGUGCCCAGUAGUGGGGGAUAGCUCGGCGAAAGCCGGAUUAAUACCGCAUACGACCUGAGGGUGAAAGCGGGGGAUCUUCGGACCUCGCGCUAUUGGAGCGGCCGAUGGCAGAUUAGCUAGUUGGUGGGGUAAAGGCCUACCAAGGCGACGAUCUGUAGCUGGUCUGAGAGGACGACCAGCCACACUGGGACUGAGACACGGCCCAGACUCCUACGGGAGGCAGCAGUGGGGAAUUUUGGACAAUGGGCGAAAGCCUGAUCCAGCAAUGCCGCGUGUGUGAUGAAGGCCUUCGGGUUGUAAAGCACUUUUGGCGGGAACGAAAAGGACUGUGCCAAUACCACGGUUCGAUGACGGUACCCGUAGAAUAAGCACCGGCUAACUACGUG